GCAGUCGAACGGUGAUAGCAAUAUCAUAGUGGCGCACGGGUGCGUAACACGUAUGCAACCUACCUAUUAUUGGGGGAUAGCCUUUGGAAACGGAGAUUAAUACCGCAUAAUACGAUUGACUGGCAUCGGUUGAUUGUUAAAGCUUUGGCGAUAAUAGAUGGGCAUGCGUCCAAUUAGUUAGUUGGUUAGGUAACGGCUGACCAAGACGAUGAUUGGUAGGGGAUCUGAGAGGAUAAUCCCCCACACUGGCACUGAGAUACGGGCCAGACUCCUACGGGAGGCAGCAGUAGGGAAUAUUGGGCAAUGGGCGGAAGCCUGACCCAGCCAUGCCGCGUGCAGGAAGAAGGCGUUAUGCGUUGUAAACUGCUUUUUUAUAGGAAGAAGGAUCCCUUGCGAGGGAAGGUGACGGUACUAUAAGAAUAAGCACCGGCUAACUCCGUGCCAGCAGCCGCGGUAAUACGGAGGGUGCAAGUGUUGUCCGGAUUUAUUGGGUUUAAAGAGUGCGUAGGCGGUUUAUUAAGUCAGUGGUGAAAGACGGUCGCUCAACGAUUGCAGUGCCAUUGAUACUGGUAGACUUGAGUGAGAUUGAGGUAGCUGGAAUGGAUAGUGUAGCGGUGAAAUGCAUAGAUAUUAUCCAGAACACCGAUUGCGAAGGCAGGUUACUAAGUCUUAACUGACGCUGAG
rnacentral:rRNA from 1 species